rnacentral:rRNA from 1 species
UGGGGGAUAUUGCACAAUGGGCGCAAGCCUGAUGCAGCGACGCCGCGUGGGGGAUGAAGGCCUUCGGGUUGUAAACUUCUUUUGCUCUGAACAAGGCGCACUUUGGGGUGUGUUGAGUGUAGGGGUUGAUUAGCGCCGGCUAACUACGUGCCAGCAGCCGCGGUAAUACGUAGGGCGCGAGCGUUGUCCGGAAUUACUGGGCGUAAAGGGCUUGUAGGUGGCUGGUUGCGUCUGUCGUGAAAGCUCAUGGCUUAACUGUGGGUUUGCGGUGGGUACGGGCUGGCUUGAGUGCAGUAGGGGAGGCUGGAAUUCCUGGUGUAGCGGUGGAAUGCGCAGAUAUCAGGAGGAAUACCGGUGGCGAAGGCGGGUCUCUGGGCUGUUACUGACACUGAGGAGCGAAAGCAUGGGGAGCGAACAGG